rnacentral:lncRNA from 1 species
CCCUGCGUCUCCGCGUACGUCACCCACCCAAUCCGCCACCCACUCUUCCCCAUCUUACGCAUCGAAUCUGCGUCGCCGUGAGGACGCCCAAAUACAAAGCGCACCAGCCACCGGCACGACACUGCUCAUCUGCUCGUUGAUGUAGGCCUAGCUGAACCCGCAACUGCAGAGGAAGCAUGGAAGCGCAUGGUGAGGUUGGGGGCAGCAGCAAUGGCAACGGUAAGGACGUCACCGAUGGCUCUGCACCUAUACAUGGACCAGGUAAUUAACAUCUUUCUUGUCUUCAUAUCCAUUGCAUACUUGUGGUUGUGUAUCUGAUUCAAGCAUGGUGUGAUCUGCCAUGGGAAUGGCUAUAUGAGAAAUUGUGCCAUGUAUUUACAUUACCUAUGAUGAAACAUCUUAGAUGUCUUGCAAUUCGUUGGCACUUUUGUGUAUUUAUAGUACCUGUCCUAACAAAAAUCAGUCACAUAUAUAGCAGGGUAACUGAA